rnacentral:misc_RNA from 1 species
GGUUAACUUGUCACCUGUUUUUGUAUAAACCAGUAGUCCCUCCUCAUUCCAAUUUGUGCAUGCUUAUUUGGACUUGUAACAGCUGCGUGGCCUUAGGAAUAAGGGUGGAGUAUUUGUGGUCUGCUGAGGUUCGGUUUUGUUGAGUUGUGUGUUAGGUGCGGUGAAUUCUAUUAUUACUUGGGUACCAUAAAUAAUGUGAUUUAAAGAAAUUUUAUAAUUAAUUUUAUUAAA